rnacentral:rRNA from 1 species
CCUGGCUCAGGAUGAACGCUAGCGGCAGGCUUAACACAUGCAAGUCGAGGGGCAGCGGGGUGUAGCAAUACACCGCCGGCGACCGGCGCACGGGUGCGUAACGCGUAUGCAACCUGCCCGUAACAGGGGGAUAACGGGGAGAAAUUCCCACUAAUACCCCGUAUAGCGGAGGAGCCGCAUGGUUCUUCCGCGAAAGCUUCGGCGGUUACGGAUGGGCAUGCGUGGCAUUAGGUAGUUGGCGGGGCAACGGCCCACCAAGCCUACGAUGCCUAGGGGAGCUGAGAGGCUUAUCCCCCACACUGGUACUGAGACACGGACCAGACUCCUACGGGAGGCAGCAGUGAGGAAUAUUGGUCAAUGGACGGAAGUCUGAACCAGCCAUGCCGCGUGCGGGAAGACGGCCCUAUGGGUUGUAAACCGCUUUUCCCCGGGAGUAAUAAGGGCCGUGCGCGGUCCGAUGAGAGUACCGGGGGAAUAAGCAUCGGCUAACUCCGUGCCAGCAGCCGCGGUAAUACGGAGGAUGCAAGCGUUAUCCGGAUUUAUUGGGUUUAAAGGGUGCGUAGGCGGACCGUUAAGUCAGCGGUGAAAUGUCCCGGCUCAACCGGGGAGCUGCCGUUGAUACCUGAAUUCC